CAUCCCAAGUUAAUCUGGUGCCAGUUUUGACAGCUAGAUGAACUAACAAAAUCUAGUUGAAAACAAUCUGUUCAGAAACACAACGAAACACUUACACCGGAUUUGAACUCACAAUUCACAGGUAGAUAGGGUAAGCAUUCAGCCAUGACAUUUCUAAAUAGAUUGGGUAAAUAUUCCAGGAUCAGAUAACAAUGAGGUUUGUUUUGAUUAUCUUCUUGAUAGUCAGAAUAACAAUUAAAAUCGUCUCUAGUUCACCAAUUGAUGCAAAGGUGUAAUGAGGAUGGUAUUAUUAGGAAAAUAAAUAAUUUAUUAAUAGUUUCUAUGUCAACGUGACUUUCUGAUAUACUGCAUUAGCGUGAAAGGAAGUUAGUUUCGUUCCUACAGAUAUAACAAAAAAGUCCAACCGUUCACACAAUCUAUUUUGUUACCAAAUAUAUAGAGAAAUGCCAACAAGUCUGUAAUUGAAGCUUUCCGGGGUUUAUUAUUACUUUUCUUUGUUUGUCUUUUAAACAAUGCUGUCAAUUUAUUGGGAAACAAUGCCACCAAUAUAUCCAUAAUCUCGUGGGUAGAAGUCCAUACUAAAUAAUUAAAUUGCAGUAAACAGUGCGUGUGUGCAAUAACAAUAGUCAGAGGGCGAGAGAGAAAGAUAACAAUAAUAAUGAUGGAGAAACGACUUUCUCUUGAGUGCAGUUACAUUCCACUGACAAUAAAUAUUACACCGAGCAGGAAUUAUGCAUUAUAAAAAAAGGUAAUAUAUCCAAUCAAUAGAAUAAGCAUCGGGAAAUUUUCCAUAAAAGUACACAAACAAAAGCUUCAGAGAGGAAAAGAGAAAUAUAGAAACGACCUCCCCCAAAGAAAUCCGAUUAAAAAUAAGAACAAAACAAAUUAUAAAAAUCUAUAAAACAGUCUUGCAGGAUGCAGGAAUGUUCUUUAACGAAAGUGUUGCAAGAGGCGGGGAGAGUGAAUUUCCUAAGUUAAAGGACUAAAUCCAUGAGUUGAUGCUGGCGAAUUUAUUAUUAAAAGGCGAAAGAAGAGGAAGAGAUAGAUGGUUUGUUAAAAAAAGGAAACAAAGUAUAUCCGAUGUUUAAGAGAAAAUUCCGAGAAUCCCACCAUUCCGAUUAAACAACUCUUUAGAUAUUUAUACAUUUCGUUUGAGUUUUGAAUGUCAUUUCACUUUAAAGACGAAGUUACCGAUUACAAUAAAUUCAUUGUUGAUAAAAUAUUG